rnacentral:rRNA from 1 species
ACGAGCUUGAUCCUGGCUCAGAACGAACGCUGGCGGCAUGCCUAACACAUGCAAGUCGAACGAAGGCUUCGGCCUUAGUGGCGCACGGGUGCGUAACGCGUGGGAAUCUGCCCUUGGGUUCGGGAUAACAGUGAGAAUUACUGCUAAUACCGGAUGAUGACUUCGGUCCAAAGAUUUAUCGCCCAGGGAUGAGCCCGCGUAGGAUUAGCUAGUUGGUGGGGUAAAGGCCUACCAAGGCGACGAUCCUUAGCUGGUCUGAGAGGAUGAUCAGCCACACUGGGACUGAGACACGGCCCAGACUCCUACGGGAGGCAGCAGUGGGGAAUAUUGGACAAUGGGCGAAAGCCUGAUCCAGCAAUGCCGCGUGAGUGAUGAAGGCCUUAGGGUUGUAAAGCUCUUUUACCCGGGAAGAUAAUGACUGUACCGGGAGAAUAAGCUCCGGCUAACUCCGUG